CUCUGGACAGAAGCGGUUUCUGUUGUCUGAAAGAAAACAAAUCGCUUCUGUCUAGAGUGU
rnacentral:pre_miRNA from 1 species